rnacentral:rRNA from 1 species
CUACGGGGGGCUGCAGUCGAGAAUCUUCCGCAAUGCGCGAAAGCGUGACGGAGCAAUGCCGCGUGCAGGAUGACGGCCUUCGGGUUGUAAACUGCUGUCACUCGGGAUGAAUUUUGACAGUACCGAGAGAGGAAGCCACGGCUAACUACGUGCCAGCAGCCGCGGUAAUACGUAGGUGGCGAGCGUUAUUCGGAUUUAUUGGGCGUAAAGGGUUCGUAGGAGGUUAGGUAAGUCUGAUGUGAAAUCCCAUGGCUCAACCAUGGAACUGCAUUGGAUACUGCCUGACUAGAGUACCGGAGAGGUAAGCGGAAUUCCUGGUGUAGCGGUGGCAUGCGUAGAUAUCAGGAGGAACACCGAUGGCGAAGGCAGCUUACUGGACGGAAACUGACUCUGAGGAACGAAAGCUAGGGUAGCAAACAGGAUUAGAUACCCCCGUAGUC